GCCGCAGCACACUCUCUAAUCGAGCUGUAACACUCGCCACUGCCGUCCACGGCUUCAUUCCUUGAAGCCGUGAGACCACGAACCCUUCGAUUGAGAAGAACCUUCGGUCGGAAGAAGACUUCUCGUCUCAGUAACAAUAACAAGAAAAACAGCCUAGACUAGACGCACAUCAGGAAGACAGACGUGACUUGCUCCUCCUUGCCUUCUGCCAUGAUUGUGAGG
rnacentral:lncRNA from 10 species